CAGUAGCCGCGGGAAUACGAAGGGUGCAAGCGUUAAUCGGAAUUACUGGGCGUAAAGCGCACGCAGGCGGUUUGUUAAGUCAGAUGUGAAAUCCCCGAGCUUAACUUGGGAACUGCAUUUGAAACUGGCAAGCUAGAGUGUGUCAGAGGGGGGUGGAAUUCCGCGUGUAGCAGUGAAAUGCGUAGAUAUGCGGAGGAACACCGAUGGCGAAGGCAGCCCCCUGGGACAACACUGACGCUGAGGCACGAAAGCGUGGGGAGCAAACAGGAUUAGAUACCCCUGUAGUCCCUGUCUCUUAUAC
rnacentral:rRNA from 1 species